rnacentral:lncRNA from 1 species
GAGGAGUGUACUAUGUGGAAGGGACUCACCCUUGAGGAAAAGAUUGUUGAGAAUUCAAGUGUGAGUUUAAGUCUCGCAUUGGAUAUAAAUGAGAAAGUAAAACACUAUAAGAUCCAUUAACCCAUUGUCUUAAGAUUUUGGAUAGAGAGUGAUGUCAUCUCUUAUUUAGUCGAGCUUAGAUGUUAUUAAUGUCUGUAUCUUUCUC